rnacentral:rRNA from 1 species
AUUGAACGCUGGCGGCAUGCUUUACACAUGCAAGUCGAACGGUAACAGGCCUUCGGGUGCUGACGAGUGGCGAACGGGUGAGUAAUGCAUCGGAACGUGCCCAGAGGUGGGGGAUAACGCAGCGAAAGCUGUGCUAACACCGCAUGUGAUCUGAGGAUGAAAGCGGGGGACCAAGCAGCAAUGUUUGGCCUCGCGCCUCUGGAGCGGCCGAUGUCAGAUUAGGUAGUUGGUGGGGUAAAGGCCUACCAAGCCGACGAUCUGUAGCUGGUCUGAGAGGACGACCAGCCACACUGGGACUGAGACACGGCCCAGACUCCUACGGGAGGCAGCAGUGGGGAAUUUUGGACAAUGGGCGCAAGCCUGAUCCAGCAAUGCCGCGUGCGGGAAGAAGGCCUUCGGGUUGUAAACCGCUUUUGUACGGAACGAAAAGGCUCUGGCUAAUACCUGGGGCUGAUGACGGUACCGUAAGAAUAAGCACCGGCUAACUACGUG